CCACAGAUCAAGAGGGAGAGAGAGGUUUUAGAAGGAAAUGUAAGUGUGGGAAGGGCUUAGACAAAAGCUGUGAAAAUCUUCGCCCAUUCAACACGCCAUCUCUAUCAUCUCUCCACUCAUUCCAGCUAUUGGAUCUUCACCGGGUGAACCAGUUGCUACUGCCUACUACCUAAGUGGACUCGGCUUGCUCAUUUCACAACCUUUGCGGCUCACAGCUUAUGGCCUUCUUCUUCUUCUUCUUCUUCUCGGUUAUAUCUUAUCUUUUUUAAAAACUCUUUUUAUUACUUGUAAAAUUGUUAAAAUAUUUUCUCUUAUUAUAUUUACUUUCUUGGACUAUUGUUCUAUA